CACUGCCUAAGGCAAUGCUGCACCCCAAGAAAGAAGGGGAAGAUGUUUCAGAGAUAGGGGAACAGUUUCCCGGUAUUCCUAUUAAAAACAAAACAAAACAAAAUUGCAACCAGAGCCAAGGUUUGGAGUGGGGAGGGAGAGAAGAGACGAAGGAAAGGUACGGUCAAGUUUUUGCAGUCUGUCUCGUUCCUCUUCUGAAAACACCGGGCAAGGGAAAGGCUGUGUACUUGGGAAGCGAAAUUGGGCCGAAGAAACAGUCCAAGGUAGUAGGCAGCCAUCUGUCGAUAGGCAGGGGGGAGAGAGCAGCAAAGUUGGGAAUGCUGCUCGUUCACCCUGCAUGCUCCAAGAGAGAGAGAUAGGAAAAGUGGACGACGAAGAAAGUUGAAGUGGGGUCCUCGGUUUGAGGUUUUUGAAAUUCAGAUUUUUAUUUUUGAAGAAGAAGAAAAUGUGAACAAAACUAGCUCCGGAGAUCAAGCAAGCCUGAGAUGGAGAAGAGGGGGGCGGGGAAGGGCGGAGAAGUGAAGAGAGCUGGGGUGGGAGAUGCAGAACAAACUCCUUCCCACCAGAGUCACCAGUCUUCGGGGACUCCUGGGCUUUCAGGCUCCGAGGGUCUUAGUCCUCCAGGAAGGUCUGCCCUUCGAGGAGAGAGAGGGUGGCAGCGCGGGCAUGGACGCGAACGUGGGUGGGAGCUACGCCCAGCUGAGCUCUGUCUGACCCAGCCUGCUCCUCCUGACCCCAGGCCCUCGGCCAUCGCACUUCACCGCGUAGAGAUGGAAAACAAACACAACGCACGAAGGAAACAUUUGCCCCCAGCCCAGCUCGGUGCGGGAAAGGGGAAGGUGUGUGGCGGCGGUGCGAGAAGGGAGCACCGCGAACCCGCAGCCUUGAGAGCGGGAACCAAGACCUUGCUGGUUCGGAAGCCUGCCCUCCGCCAACCUGCAGACUCAGGACUACACUGCCCUCUCCGAAGUGCAAUGGAGAAAGGCGUCCUUAGAUUCCCAGUACCCAAGAGCUAUCUAUCACCUUCCUCCUUUGCUGCGGAGUCCAAACACGGCAGUUCUAGGUGUCUUCUCCCCAUCCCCCAUCCCUACCCGAUCCAUUUUUGUAUAAAACCAAGCUGUCCCACAGGGUAUGCAGCCACCAAGGGUGGCCUUGGGGGUGUUGGGGAACGCAGAGGAGGGGGCUGAUUCCUGUUUUGCAUUUGUGUAGAUGUCUCCUACGGAGUUUAUAGGAGUCUCAAAAUGGUCAGGCUCCCUGUCUUUUUUCACCACAGGGUUGAGGGAAAGUGGGAGGAAGAUGAGGUUAUUUAAAGCUCAUUUGCUACCAGAACAAAAUGUUCCAGCUCUCCCUCUCCUGUCUCGGAGCGCCUCUGCCCAGCCUUUGAUAUUUAAGACCGACAAGAUCCUCCAUGAAACUACCUGUUAAGGAAAUGAGUGACACCGAAUUCUGAAGGGCUCGUCAUGUCUUAAAAAAAGAAAAAAAAAGUCAACCGCAUUCUUUUGAGAGGGGGGUCGUUCUUGAAGUGUGCCCCAUGGCUGGGGGAGAGAAACAGCAGAGACAUGUAAGCACUGCUGUCCAUCAGCCCCCAAUCCAAACUGUCCCCCAUCAGUCCGCGCUCGGCUCCAUUCCUGAGGACCAGCCUGGACUAUCCUCGCUGGUGCGUACGGACAUCGGCCGCACGAAAAGGGCACAAACACGUCGCUAGACCGCUAGGUUUCGGGGACGACUGGAGAGAUUCCUAGUUGACUUUGGCAGAGCGGGUUUCCUGCCUUGACAAAAACCAAAACCAAAACCACCUCCCCUAGUUAGGGCUUUCCUUCCUCAGCCCCAAGCCAGCUCGCCAAGCAUAAGAUGCCGGCCAGGUGAAUUACCCGAGUUUGAAUUCAACUGUUUUCUUGACAUUUCGGAAAACUUCGAUCACGUUGUUCCUGAGGCUUAAUCUAUUGAUUUGCUAAAUCUAUAGUUUCAUCUCUUUAAAGACAAAACCAAACAAAAACAAACAAACAAACAAAAAACUCAGCGCUUUGGGGAGGAAGGAAGGAAUGGUACAAAAUAUUAUUUUCAAUAGCAUUUUUAUCCAGUUUCCUUUGAUGUUUUCACAUCGUAGCUUUGCGUCUACUUCGUAACAUUACUUGUAUUUUUUGGUCCUGAUUUAUGCUACGACAGGACUUUGUUAGUAGCUGAUUCUGUGAGGUGGUUUAAAAAAAACAAAACAAAACAAAAUAAAACCCUAGUUCUGAAGCGUGUAAAGGCUAUC
rnacentral:lncRNA from 1 species